rnacentral:rRNA from 1 species
CGCCUGUUUAUCAAAAACAUCUUUUCUCGUUAGUUUUUGAAGUAUGGCCUGCCCACUGACUUUNUAUGUUGAAGGGCCGCGGUAUUUUGACCGUGCAAAGGUAGCAUAGUCAUUAGUUCUUUAAUUGUGAUCUGGUAUGAAUGGCUUGACGAGGCAUGGGCUGUCUUAAUUUUGAAUUAUUUAUUGAAUUUGGUCUUUGAGUUAAAAUUCUUAGAUGUUUUUAUGGGACGAGAAGACCCUAUAGAGUUUAACAUUUAUUAUGGUCCCUUUCUGUUUGUGAGGGUUCGCUGGGCCGUUUAGUAUGUUUUGUUGGGGUGAUGGGAGGGACUUAUUUAACCCCUCCUUUGUAUUGUUAUAUUUAUUUAUAUUUACUUGAUCCAUUUAUUUUGAUUGUAAGAUUAAAUUACCUUAGGGAUAACAGCGUAA